rnacentral:lncRNA from 1 species
CAGGUCCCCGAGGACCCAGUGAUGAGGGUGGGGGGUCCUGGCCGGGACCCCGCAGCGGGAGCAGGGUGCUGCGCUGCACGGGCGGCCGAGUAGCGCUGUGCCUGGGGGCGCUCGGCGGGGUCAGACAGGUGGGAACACCCGAAACCAGCUUGAGCUGAGGAAGCUGGUGCCUGGCUGCUGUUUAGGRAAAAAAACAUUUUUUGCUUGUGGCUUCUGGCUUUGCCCCUUGCCUUCUCAGCAGGGUGUCUGGGGGUUGCAGGUGUCCGUCCCCRUGGGGCAGCCGCCCUCCCGGGCAGGGGCAUCGGCUGCGGCGGGGUCGGGGUCGGGUCCGGACUGCAGCCGCGGGGGGGCUGUUGGGGUCGAGGGAAGGUUUGUGGUGCUGGAGCGGGAGCGCUGGCGCGUYGCUGGGGGUGUCGGUGCGCGGGUCCCUCUGGGCUCGCUGGUGCUGAAUGCAGCYGGGGCGCGCGCCCUCCCGGCAGGUGUCCCCCGGGGGCGAAGGCUGUUUCGGGGCUCAGGACCAGCCCCGCGGGGAGGCCCUCCCUGGGGAGGGCUCCAGGCAGGGCCGCGGUUUCUGCUGCUUUGUGCUUUGCUUGGAACGCGCCUCGCUUAGCUGAUGUUUCUUGGCAAGUAUUAAUUCUAGUGUGCUCCUCUGGGGAGAAAGGUGACUUUUCUGGCUGGCGAGGCUGAGCAGGGCUCCAGUUAGGGCAAGGCGCAGGAUUCGCAGGGGCAGCUAAACACUGGGGCUGAUUUGGGGCCGUGCGGGGCUGCGCCGUGCAGCCGCGAGCUCUCGCUGACUGGUCUCUCUCCCCAAGCAGGGAUGGAGGAGCCCCAGCCGCACCAGGGGGCCGGUGCAAACACCGCAGCGUCACCCCAGUGCCAGCUCUCGGACACUGCCACCAUGCGCAAAGCCAGGGAUAGCACAUCCGGCAGGAGGGGCUGCGUCCUUGUCCCCUCACCCGCACGAGGACUUUGGGGCCUCGGAGGUGUUUCCUGGUUUGUCCUGCCAGCAAGUGACAGCUGCUUUGGCCGGGUCGCUCURUGYUCCCGUCCCUGUGCGGCUGCCCCCCCCUCGGAGGAGCAGAGCGAGAACCGCACAUGCGGGCAACAGGCUGCGUCUGCUCUGCUCUGGAAAUGAAAGUGGGAGACAUCCACAACAGAGAGCGAGCGCCGUGGGGUUUGCUUAAUCCCUGACAGAAGAAGURGGACUCCCCAUGUGCAGAAGGACCCCUCGCCUCCCUCUGCCCUGCGAGUGCCCYGCUCCUGGCUGCGACGAGCUCCUGCCUGUGCCUGCGGCCUCCUUGGAAGUGGUGCUGGGAGUAUGGCUUGGGCUUGUUAUGACUCCAGCUUGGGGGCUCGUUACAGCUAUCUGGGCUUUUGACAAGGUCGUAAAUCAAUCACUGUCAUAACUUGCAUAUUAAUAUCAUCUUUAAUAUUGCAUACAUAUUGAACAAWUAGUUUAUGAACAMUGUACACAUAUUGAAUAAAUAUUCYGAGGCUUGUACA